rnacentral:rRNA from 1 species
GCGUGCUUACCCCAUGCAGUCGACCGGAAUAUUUGAAAAGCUUGCUUCUGGAAGAUCUUAGUGCAACGGUAGUACCACGUAGCACCUGCCGACAGAAUGGGACAACCAUCCGAAAAGAAUGCUUAAUACCAAAUAAACGGAAGAAGAGGCUCUUUUCUCCCGUGAAAAGAUGCCCUUCUGACCAUGCUAUCACCCUGUCGAUGGGUCUUGCGUCUGAUUAGCUUGGUUGGUGAGGUAACGGCUCACCAAGGCGACGAUCAGUAGCCGGUCUGAGAGGAUGAACGGCCACAUUGGGACUGAGACACGGCCCAGACUCCUACGGGAGGCAGCAGUGGGGAAUCUUCCGCAAUGGGCGCAAGCCUGACGGAGCAACGCCGCGUGAGUGAAGAAGGUCUUCGGAUCGUAAAGCUCUGUUGACGGGGACGAACGUGCGAAGGGUGAAUAAUCCUUUGCAAUGACGGUACCUGUCGAGGAAGCCCG